ACAACGGCAAGGAAUGCUGCUACUCUCCCUCCGCCACCAUUAAUGUAGCCAUGACCCUCGACACCAACUACCUCCGCGACACUAUGCUUCACCAUAGCAUAUUAUUGUUGUUAGGACCGCACCGACGACCAGUGUGUUUUCGCACCGCACCUUGGCUCUUCAUAUCAACACCAUAAAGCUUGGCUAUGUCGUCAACCACCACCAGGUCAGAGUCCAAAUAUAUCACGUGUUUCACGUCUUCUGGUAUGGUAUCGGUAAGGUAUAUUCUGGCGUAAUUCAGGGGCUGGUCCAAGGCCUGUCGAAUGGACUUGGAUAUCUUGUCGCAGACCCUGUUGGAGUCAAACCGAUAAAUCUUCAUCUUGAGGUAAAGGAAGGUGGGGAUGACG
rnacentral:misc_RNA from 1 species